rnacentral:rRNA from 1 species
UACGGGGGGGGCAAGCGUUGUUCGGAAUUAUUGGGCGUAAAGGGCUCGUAGGCGGUUUGUCGCGUCGGGAGUGAAAACUCAGGGCUUAACCCUGAGCCUGCUUCCGAUACGGGCAGACUAGAGGUAUGCAGGGGAGAACGGAAUUCCUGGUGUAGCGGUGAAAUGCGCAGAUAUCAGGAGGAACACCGGUGGCGAAGGCGGUUCUCUGGGCAUUACCUGACGCUGAGGAGCGAAAGUGUGGGGAGCGAACAGG